rnacentral:piRNA from 1 species
UCCUUACAACCUGGGCAACUGGCCAAA